rnacentral:rRNA from 1 species
CCUACGGGUGGCUGCAGCGGGGGAUAUUGGACAAUGGGGGGAACCCUGACCCAGCGACGCCGCGUGAGUGAAGAAGUAUUUCGGUAUGUAAAGCUCUGUCAGCAGGGAAGAAAGAAAUGACGGUACCUGACCAAGAAGCCCCGGCUAACUACGUGCCAGCAGCCGCGGUAAUACGUAGGGGGCAAGCGUUAUCCGGAAUUACUGGGUGUAAAGGGAGCGUAGACGGUAAAGUAAGUCAGGAGUGAAAGGCCUGGGCCCAACCCCUGGACUGCUCUGGAAACUAUUGAACUUGAGUGCAGGAGAGGCAGGCGGAAUGCCUAGUGUAGCGGUGAAAUGCGUAGAUAUUAGGAGGAACACCAGUGGCGAAGGCGGCUUGCUGGACUGUAACUGACGUUGAGGCGCGAAAGCGUGGGGAGCAAACAGGAUUAGAUACCCGGGUAGUC